UACAGAGGUGGCAAGCGUUGUUCGGAAUUACUGGGCGUAAAGGGCGCGUAGGCGGUCCGAUAAGUCCCGUGUGAAAUCCCUCGGCUCAACUGAGGAAUGGCACGGGAAACUGACGGGCUUGAGUUCGGGAGAGGGAAGCGGAAUUCCGGGUGUAGCGGUGAAAUGCGUAGAUAUCCGGAGGAACACCGGUGGCGAAGGCGGCUUCCUGGCCUGUUCUUGACGCUGAGGCGCGAAAGCUAGGGGAGCAAACGGG
rnacentral:rRNA from 1 species